GAGCAGUUUAACGGUAAUAUUUUACCGCCAUAUUUUCUCUAUCCCACGUCUAUUUUAUUCUUCCCACGUUCUCUCUAACGUGUUAUCUCACGUAUAUUUUAUUUUCUUCGUAUUCUCUCUCCCACGAUUCAUCAACCACUACUUUCUCUGAAAAUUUUCAGUAUUUGAAACUCUUUUGAUCAACCAGCUUCUCAUGCCCGAAAAUUUAUUCACACAAACACAGAUGACGCACGCACACAGAACCCUUGCCCCCUCUCUGCCUCACCACCGCCAGCCACGACCCGACGUCACCACGUCGGCGGACAACCCACGCUUCUCCUCUCGUGGCAUCUUCUUUCUAUCUCGCUCCUCGCCGCACUGCCGAUGCCGCGUUCGUCCUCGCCGACAAAAACGGCCGAAGACAAUAAGAAAUUCCUUCAAUUUCCCCCCAAAAAACACCAUAUGUUUGGGAAAUUUCCCCAACCAUGUCGUUGAAGCUCUCACAGGCCGCUGCAGCAACGAUCCCUCAAAAGCCGCAGAGGCAGAAUCAACGAGCAAUCGAGCCACACGAUAAAUGAAUCGCAGAAAUCCUCUUCUCGAUUUUUUCUAUCCGAGAAAAUCGCGGCUGCGAAGUAGGCCGGAAUCAUUCAAGCUCGAGUACCUUAUUUUAUACAGAUUCAGAAACUGAAGAAACCUAACAUCAAACACAAUGAUGGAAAUUCAAAACAUAUCUUCGGCUAAUUCCUACUUGUCUGAAUCGAGACUCCCGCGCUGCUUCUCACACCCCUGUUGACGUUUUCUUCUCCACAUUAGUUAAUUGGUUCUUGUCGUGGUUUCUUAGAAAGGCGUGAAAUUUGCGGCUGCGGAGUUGGUCAUGGCUUCUCUCAAGUUGGUGCAUGGUGUGCAGAGGUAUGUCGACAGUGAAAAGCACUCUGCCGUUUGAUUCGAUUAAAAAAGAACUACAUGAAGACGAGCAAAAUGCACGGCGGCGGGGAAGGGCGGCAAGACGAAGGGGGUUAGCUUCGUGAUCGAUUGCUCGAAGCUGGUGGAGGAUAAGAUCGUGGAGAUCGCUUCGCUAGAGAAGUUUUUGCAUGAGAGAAUUAAGGUCGGUGGCAAAGCUGGUGCUCUCGGUGAUUCCGUUUCUGUCAGCCGCGACAAGAACAAGAUCACCAUCAUCGCCGAUUCCACUUUCUCCAAAAGGUAUAUUAGCAUAAUGUGCAGGAUUUGCUUAGCGUGAUUUCUUCCAACGAAGAAAGAAAUGUGUAUGAAUUGCACUACUUCAACACUUGCUAAGCAAGAGGGCGAGAUUAGUUUCAUGUUCCUUUUAUGCUCUGCCAAUAUUGUCGAAACCACUUUUUGGAUCAAUUUGUGUUGUUUGUUCUAUUUUUCUAAGAUUUUUGAGGCUGCUUAUGAUAUUGAAUUUUGAUGUGGUCA